rnacentral:lncRNA from 1 species
CAGGAAAUGAGAACCUUGGAAACUCAAGCCAAUGCACACCAACCCCAUGUACGUGGUUUAUGCUCCAUGCAAAGCAUGGAAGAGCAUCCUCACCUCGCCCCCACUGUCUGGGAAAUGCUGGAGAGAAAUAAAAGAAAAUGCCCCCCACUGCCCAUGCAGGACUGAGACAGAGGGAAGAUGCCAGAGUGGCCCAUCCUCUAUUCUGUACUCCCAGUUGG